rnacentral:piRNA from 1 species
GACCCUCAUGCUUUAAUGCUCAAUCAAGU